GAUAAACGCUGGCGGCGUGCAUGAGACAUGCAAGUCGAACGAGUGCCGGGCAACCGGUGCUAGUGGCGGACGGCUGAGUAACGCGUUGGUGACCUACCCCGAAGUGGGGAAUAACUGCCCGAAAGGGUGGCUAAUACCGCAUGUGGUCGCACGUUCGUUCGUGCGAGUAAAGCCGCAAGGCGCUUCGGGAGGGGCCUGCGUCCGAUUAGCUCGUUGGUGGGGUAAUGGCUUACCAAGGCGACGAUCGGUAGGUGGUCUGAGAGGACGAUCACCCAGACUGGGACUGAGACACGGCCCAGACUCCUACGGGAGGCAGCAGUCGGGAAUUUUGCUCAAUGGGGGAAACCCUGAAGCAGCAACGCCGCGUGAGGGAUGAAGGCCUUCGGGUUGUAAACCUCUUUUGUUCUAGGGACGAUGAUGACGGUACCUGGCGAAUAAGCCACGGCUAACUACG
rnacentral:rRNA from 1 species